GCGGCGGUGGUCUAGUGGUCAAGACGCUGCAUCAGUAAGUCUUGCAAACACAAGCUCGACUGUGUACAGUACGGAGUGCCUUCGGGUGCUUUUGUACACAGGACGAUGCAGAGAUCGUGAGUUCGAAUCUCACUCGCCGCA
rnacentral:tRNA from 1 species